CCAGAAACUACAAAGGAAGUUGACGGGGGCCCGGCACAAGCGGUGGAGUAUGUGGUUAAUUCGAUGCAACGCGAAGAACCUUACCUGGUCUUGACAUCCCGGAGACCCUUAGGAAACUAGGGGGUGCUUCCAUCUGGAAGAAUCUGGAGACAGGUGCUGCAUGGCUGUCGUCAGCUCGUGUCGUGAGAUGUUGGGUUAAGUCCCGCAACGAGCGCAACCCUUGCCUUUAGUUGCCAGCAGUUCGGCUGGGCACUCUAAAGGGACUGCCGGUGUUAAACCGGAGGAAGGUGGGGAUGACGUCAAGUCCUCAUGGCCUUUAUGACCAGGGCUACACACGUACUACAAUGGCCGAUACAAAGGGCAGCGACACUGCGAGGUGAAGCCAAUCCCGUAAAAUCGGUCUCAGUCCGGAUUGGAGUCUGCAACUCGACUCCAUGAAGUUGGAAUCGCUAGUAAUCGUGGAUCAGUAUGCCACGGUGAAUACGUUCCCGGGCCUU
rnacentral:rRNA from 1 species